rnacentral:rRNA from 1 species
UCUUCUAACGCUAAUCCGGCUUAGUACGAGAGGAACCGCCGGUUCACAUAACUGGUAACGCGCUCGGCUGAAAAGCCGCUGGCGCAAAGCUACCAUGUGUCGGCUAAUGACUGAACGCCUCUAAGUCAGAAGCCAUGGCGGGCGGAAGGCUUCGAGCCCGGCGCUUCUUACGCGUCUACGUAUAGCACUGCGAGGAGCCUUUUCACAGCAAUUCCAAACGAGCGCUGGGUCAAAUCCUUUGCAGACGACUUAAUUACGAAGCGGAGUGAUGUACGAAGCUGAGUAGCCUUGCUGCUGCGAACUUCUGAGUCUCAGCUCUUGCUUC